rnacentral:rRNA from 1 species
UACAGAGGUCUCAAGCGUUGUUCGGAUUCAUUGGGCGUAAAGGGUGCGUAGGUGGCGAGGUAAGUCAGGUGUGAAAUUUCGGAGCUCAACUCCGAAACUGCAUUUGAUACUGCCUUGCUUGAGGACUGGAGAGGAGACUGGAAUUCACGGUGUAGCAGUGAAAUGCGUAGAUAUCGUGAGGAAGACCAGUGGCGAAGGCGGGUCUCUGGACAGUUCCUGACACUGAGACACGAAGGCCAGGGGGAGCAAAACGGG